UACGUAGGGGGCAAGCGUUGUCCGGAAUCAUUGGGCGUAAAGCGCGCGUAGGCGGCCCGGUAAGUCCGCUGUGAAAGUCCAGGGCUCAACCCUGGAAAGCCGGUGGAUACUGUCGGGCUCGAGUCCGGAAGAGGCGAGUGGAAUUCCUGGUGUAGCGGUGGAAUGCGUAGAUAUCGGGAGGAACAUCAGUGGCGAAGGCGGCUGCCUGGCCCAAUACUGACACUCAGGUGCGACAGCGUGGGGAGCAAACAGG
rnacentral:rRNA from 1 species